UUAAGUCGAAGGAACUCCAAUGACCCGUAAAAUCUGGACUAGACCCACCAUUCCCUGAUUCUGCUUCUGCCUCUGGUGAUGAUGUUAUCCCAUGAGACUCCUUUACUGGUAUCAUCUUGUUGCUGUCUCCACCAUUAUGAUGGCCAGAUUUCCAAAGCCUCUUUGUUAAGUUUGAUACUUUCUUUGAUUUCUUUAUAAGUUCUGAAUAGACUUCACUGAUGUUGAUUG
rnacentral:misc_RNA from 1 species